UUACACAUGCAAGUCGAACGAUGAACCACUUCGGUGGGGAUUAGUGGCGAACGGGUGAGUAACACGUGGGCAAUCUGCCCUUCACUCUGGGACAAGCCCUGGAAACGGGGUCUAAUACCGGAUACCACUCUCGCAGGCAUCUGUGAGGGUUGAAAGCUCCGGCGGUGAAGGAUGAGCCCGCGGCCUAUCAGCUUGUUGGUGAGGUAAUGGCUCACCAAGGCGACGACGGGUAGCCGGCCUGAGAGGGCGACCGGCCACACUGGGACUGAGACACGGCCCAGACUCCUACGGGAGGCAGCAGUGGGGAAUAUUGCACAAUGGGCGAAAGCCUGAUGCAGCGACGCCGCGUGAGGGAUGACGGCCUUCGGGUUGUAAACCUCUUUCAGCAGGGAAGAAGCGAAAGUGACGGUACCUGCAGAAGAAGCGCCGGCUAACUACGUGCCAGCAGCCGCGGUAAUACGUAGGGCGCAAGCGUUGUCCGGAAUUAUUGGGCGUAAAGAGCUCGUAGGCGGCUUGUCACGUCGGGUGUGAAAGCCCGGGGCUUAACCCCGGGUCUGCAUUCGAUACGGGCUAGCUAGAGUGUGGUAGGGGAGAUCGGAAUUCCUGGUGUAGCGGUGAAAUGCGCAGAUAUCAGGAGGAACACCGGUGGCGAAGGCGGAUCUCUGGGCCAUUACUGACGCUGAGGAGCGAAAGCGUGGGGAGCGAACAGGAUUAGAUACCCUGGUAGUCCACGCCGUAAACGGUGGGAACUAGGUGUUGGCGACAUUCCACGUCGUCGGUGCCGCAGCUAACGCAUUAAGUUCCCCGCCUGGGGAGUACGGCCGCAAGGCUAAAACUCAAAGGAAUUGACGGGGGCCCGCACAAGCAGCGGAGCAUGUGGCUUAAUUCGACGCAACGCGAAGAACCUUACCAAGGCUUGACAUACACCGGAAAACCCUGGAGACAGGGUCCCCCUUGUGGUCGGUGUACAGGCUGUCGUCAGCUCGUGUCGUGAGAUGUUGGGUUAAGUCCCGCAACGAGCGCAACCCUUGUCCUGUGUUGCCAGCAUGCCCUUCGGGGUGAUGGGGACUCACAGGAGACCGCCGGGGUCAACUCGGAGGAAGGUGGGGACGACGUCAAGUCAUCAUGCCCCUUAUGUCUUGGGCUGCACACGUGCUACAAUGGCCGGUACAAUGAGCUGCGAUACCGUGAGGUGGAGCGAAUCUCAAAAAGCCGGUCUCAGUUCGGAUUGGGGUCUGCAACUCGACCCCAUGAAGUCGGAGUUGCUAGUAAUCGCAGAUCAGCAUUGCUGCGGUGAAUACGUUCCCGGGCCUUGUACACACCGCCCGUCACGUCACGAAAGUUGGUAACACCCGAAGCCGGUGGCCCAACCCCUUGUGGGAGGGAGCUGUCGAAGGUGACUGCU
rnacentral:rRNA from 1 species